rnacentral:rRNA from 1 species
AUUGAACGCUGGCGGCAUGCCUUACACAUGCAAGUCGAACGGCAGCACGGGAGCAAUCCUGGUGGCGAGUGGCGAACGGGUGAGUAAAGUAUCGGAACGUGCCCAGUCGUGGGGGAUAACGUAGCGAAAGCUACGCUAAUACCGCAUACGAUCUAUGGAUGAAAGCGGGGGAUCGCAAGACCUCGCGCGAUUGGAGCGGCCGAUAUCAGAUUAGGUAGUUGGUGGGGUAAAGGCCCACCAAGCCGACGAUCUGUAGCUGGUCUGAGAGGACGACCAGCCACACUGGGACGGAGACACGGCCCAGCCUCCUACGGGAGGCAGCAGUGGGGAAUUUUAGACAAUGGGCGCAAGCCUGAUUCAGCAAUGCCGCGUGCAGGAUGAAGGCCUUCGGGUUGUAAACUGCUUUUGUACGGAGCGAAAAGGCUCUCUCUAAUACAGGGGGCUCAUGACGGUACCGUAAGAAUAAGCACCGGCUAACUACGUGUCAGCAGCCGCCGUAAAAC